GUGGAGCUUGGACCCAGGUCCCAGGCCAAUGCAAAUUCAACCCAUGUACUUUCCGAACCUGUUCAUGAAAAAACUAAACUAAACAGAACACAGGCGCCCAUAAACUUGACGCGCGCGCGCUUCGCACCGAAAACAGAAACCAAAGGAGCAAAACCUCAAACACACAGCAUUUUCCAGCUUUCAACGAUGUUGGACGCCGAUGAUGAUGGCUUCGGCGAUUUCAAGUUCGCGCCAUUCGAUCAUACCGUCCGUUCCAAUCCCAUUCUUAUGAACGGUCGAGAUUCAGCUGCUGCGACCAACGAUGACGAAGACUGGGGAGAUUUCGUCAACUCCGGUGGACUAUCCCACGCCCUAUCGCUCCCCAAAAUCUCGAAGCCCCUUGACCCGUUCGGAUUUUCUACAGAUCAAAAAGUGAAAAACAAUGAUUCGGAACCCAACCAGCCUGGAUCAGCACCUGGUCGGGUUAAAUCGGGCAUGGCUCAAUGGGAGAAGCCAAAAGGAGCUUUGCCUCUU
rnacentral:misc_RNA from 1 species